rnacentral:tRNA from 1 species
GGGAAUUUAGCUCAAUGGUAGAGCGCUUGCCUAGCAAGCACAAGGCCCUGGGUUCGGUCCCCAGCUCU